rnacentral:rRNA from 1 species
AGAGUUUGAUCAUGGCUCAGAACGAACGCUGGCGGCAGGCUUAACACAUGCAAGUCGAACGCAUCCUUCGGGGUGAGUGGCAGACGGGUGAGUAACACGUGGGAACGUACCUUUCGGUUCGGGAUAACCCAGGGAAACUUGGGCUAAUACCGGAUACGUCCUUAGGGAGAAAGAUUUAUUGCCGAGAGAUCGGCCCGCGUCUGAUUAGCUAGUUGGUGAGGUAAAGGCUCACCAAGGCGACGAUCAGUAGCUGGUCUGAGAGGAUGAUCAGCCACACUGGGACUGAGACACGGCCCAGACUCCUACGGGAGGCAGCAGUGGGGAAUAUUGGACAAUGGGCGCAAGCCUGAUCCAGCCAUGCCGCGUGAGUGAUGAAGGCCUUAGGGUUGUAAAGCUCUUUCGGCGGGGACGAUAAUGACGGUACCCGCAGAAGAAGCCCCGGCUAACUUCGUGCCAGCAGCCGCGGUAAUACGAAGGGGGCUAGCGUUGUUCGGAAUCACUGGGCGUAAAGGGCGCGUAGGCGGCUUUAUAAGUCGGGGGUGAAAGCCUGUGGCUCAACCACAGAAUUGCCUUCGAUACUGUAUGGCUUGAGACCGGAAGAGGUAAGUGGAACUGCGAGUGUAGAGGUGAAAUUCGUAGAUAUUCGCAAGAACACCAGUGGCGAAGGCGGCUUACUGGUCCGGUUCUGACGCUGAGCGCGAAAGCGUGGGGAGCAAACAGGAUUAGAUACCCUAGUAGUCC